UUACGGCCAUAAUACGUUGAAACACCGGUUUCCGUACGAUCACCAAAGUUAAGCAACGUCGAGCCUGGUCAGUACCUAGAUGGUUGACUGCUUGGGAAUACCAGGUGUCGUAAG